AAAACAGGGAGAUCUUCACGAUUAUAAACUGAACCCUGGAACACCCCUCCUGUCCUUCCCCGAACAGGCCUGUGCCCCCUGCUCAUUCUCCAGGUGCACCCCAAAUCAAGAAAGCUCAAAUUCCAGUGAUGAGACUGGGUGCUUCCACUUGGAAGCUGAGAGACAUCUUCUGUCUUCUGCUUCCCUGCAAGUCUUGGGCCUCCAAUUAGUGGAGAGGGAAAGUGUCGCAGACGUGGGUGUGGCAGGAGCCCAGGUGGAGCCUCUGGUGGAGCGGAGGAGAGAGAUGAUGCUGCCUUUCCCAAGAACAAGCUCACAGUGCUGCCCAAAAGGCUCCUGGAGAGGUGACUUUGCCCAACAGGCCCCAAGUUGCUUACUUUCUCAGUCCUCAGGUUUUCACAGGGAAGAGACCCGCCACCCUCACUGCCCCCACCUCACCCAGGAGGACUGAGACUUCAUUUGCUCUUCUCCUCCUUCGCUGGGUCCAUUCCACAGUGCUAGUCUGAGAGGUGUGGUGUUGGGGGAAGACAUAAAGGAGGUGUUUAGCCUUCUGAGGUGUGGUAGGGUAGGGGUGUUGAUAAAGCCAGAGCCCCUCCUGUAAGGUAGGACUGGGUUCAGGGGACACUGACUUGGAUUGUAAUGCCUGAGGCCUCAGGGAAGGGCUCUGAUCUCAGGCAAGACAGGGCUGGGCUCGGGGAGGAGCUGGAUCCCUGAAUUUUUGUGAGGAGAUGUUUAUUUCAUGAAUGUGUGUGUAUGAGGUCCCUCUGUAUCCCCGCCAAUACUCUGGGCCUGUCUCUGUGACUCACUCAUAGUAGAAGGGGAGGGUGUGGUUGGUGGGGUUUGGUUGAGCUUACCGUGCCCCCAGGGGAUGAGAGAGGCACUCUUGGGGAACCCCCAGUAGGCGGGGUGCUGGUCUCUCUCUACCUCCUGCAUCUGCCUGGUGGUGCCUCCUCUGGAUCCCCAGCAUCUCCUCGUUUCUUCAGGCCUCCCCCUUCUCCCUUGAGCCCUUAUGUCCCAUGUGAUAUUUUAGCUAGUUCCCAUCCCAUCCAAGGAGGCUGCUAUCUGGCUCUGGCUGGGAAAUAAACAUGUGCUUUUGCUACCAACAUCAGAAUUGUGUUGUUUGUCUCAAAAGAGCACCAUACUGGGGCAGCAGGUGAAGCACAGGAAGUUCUGGAAAACAU
rnacentral:lncRNA from 1 species